rnacentral:rRNA from 1 species
GUUGAACGCUGGCGGAAUGCUUUACACAUGCAAGUCGAACGGUAGAGGGGGCAACCCCUCGAGAGUGGCGAACGGGUGAGUAAUAUAUCGGAACGUGCCCAGUCGUGGGGGAUAACGUAGCGAAAGUUACGCUAAUACCGCAUACGAUCUAAGGAUGAAAGCGGGGGAUCGCAAGACCUCGCGCGAUUGGAGCGGCCGAUAUCAGAUUAGGUAGUUGGUGGGGUAAAGGCUCACCAAGCCAACGAUCUGUAGCUGGUCUGAGAGGACGACCAGCCACACUGGAACUGAGACACGGUCCAGACUCCUACGGGAGGCAGCAGUGGGGAAUUUUGGACAAUGGACGCAAGUCUGAUCCAGCCAUUCCGCGUGCAGGGUGAAGGCCCUCGGGUUGUAAACUGCUUUUGUACGGAACGAAAAGGUCUCUCUUAAUACGGGGGACUCAUGACGGUACCGUAAGAAUAAGCACCGGCUAACUACGUGCCAGCCGCCGCCGUAA